GAUGAACGCUGGCGGCGUGCCUAAUACAUGCAAGUCGAGCGAACAGACGAGGAGCUUGCUCCUCUGACGUUAGCGGCGGACGGGUGAGUAACACGUGGAUAACCUACCUAUAAGACUGGGAUAACUUCGGGAAACCGGAGCUAAUACCGGAUAAUAUAUUGAACCGCAUGGUUCAAUAGUGAAAGACGGUUUUGCUGUCACUUAUAGAUGGAUCCGCGCCGCAUUAGCUAGUUGGUAAGGUAACGGCUUACCAAGGCAACGAUGCGUAGCCGACCUGAGAGGGUGAUCGGCCACACUGGAACUGAGAUACGGUCCAGACUCCUGCGGGAGGCAGCAGUAGGGAAUCUUCCGCAAUGGGCGAAAGCCUGACGGAGCAACGCCGCGUGAGUGAUGAAGGUCUUCGGAUCGUAAAACACUGUUAUUAGGGAAGAACAAAUGUGUAAGUAACUAUGCACGUCUUGACGGUACCUAAUCAGAAAGCCACGGCUAACUACGUG
rnacentral:rRNA from 1 species